AGGAACAAGGUCUCCGUUGGUGAACCAGCGGAGGGAUCAUUA
rnacentral:rRNA from 1 species